AGAUCAUCUGCACCCUUUUCCGUGAGACACCCGGCUAGGACACGGAAACCACGUUUGUCCAGACGUUUGCACAGUAGGUGUCCGAACCCAGAGUCACAACCCGUCACAAAAACAUGUUUCUCCAAGACCUUGGUGAUCUCCAGGUUGUCCCGGUAGAACCACACCAGAACCCACAGCA